UCAAGUGACUAAGUGCAUGUGGCGGAUGCCUUGGCGAUCACAGGCGAAGAAAGACGCGGCAGCCUGCGAAAAGCUGCGGGGAGCUGGCAAACGAGCUUUGAUCCGCAGAUAUCUGAAUGGGGGAACCCACACCGCAAGGUGUAUCCGUGACUGAAUACAUAGGUUACGGAGGCGAACGAGGAGAACUGAAACAUCUAAGUAUCCUCAGGAAAAGAAAUCAACCGAGAUUCCGGCAGUAGCGGCGAGCGAACCCGGAGGAGCCUAGCUUUUGAUAGUACGAACUUUAGCCGAAAGGUCCUGGAAAGGCCUGCUAUAGUGGGUGAUAGCCCCGUAGGCGAAAGAGUUCGUAUGGUACUAAGGAAGCGAGAAGUAGAGCGGGACACGUGGAAUCCUGUUCGAAGAUGGGGGGACCAUCCUCCAAGGCUAAAUACUCGUGAUCGACCGAUAGUGAACCAGUACCGUGAGGGAAAGGCGAAAAGAACCCCGGGAGGGGAGUGAAAUAGAACCUGAAACCGCAUGCAUACAAACAGUAGGAGCCUCACCAGAGGUGACUGCGUACCUUUUGCAUAAUGGGUCAGCGACUUACAUUCUGUGGCGAGCUUAACCGAAUAGGGGAGGCGCAGCGAAAGCGAGUUCGAAAUGAGCGUCCAGUCGCAGGGUGUAGACCCGAAACCAGAUGAGCUAUCCAUGGCCAGGUUGAAGGUGUGGUAACACACACUGGAGGACCGAACCGACUAGUGUUGCAAAAUUAGCGGAUGAGCUGUGGAUAGGGGUGAAAGGCCAAACAAAUCUGGAGAUAGCUGGUUCUCCCCGAAAACUAUUGAGGUAGUGCCUCGUGUGUCGCUCCAGGGGGUAGAGCACUGUUUUGGCUAGGGGGACAUGGAGUCUUACCAAACCAAGGCAAACUCCGAAUACCUGGAAGCGUAAGCACGGGAGACAGAGCACCGGGUGCUAACGUCCGGACUCAAAAGGGAAACAACCCAGACCGCCGGCUAAGGUCCCCAAUAACAGCUAAGUGGAAAACGAAGUGGAAAGGCCGUGACAACCAGGAAGUUGGCUUAGAAGCAGCCAUCCUUCAAAGAAAGCGUAAUAGCUCACUGGUCGAGUCCUUCUGCGCGGAAGAUGUAACGGGGCUAAGCUGUUAACCGAAGCCGCGGAUGCACUGAUUAUUCAGUGCGUGGUAGGGGAGCGUUCUGUAAGUCUGCGAAGGCGGUUCGAGAGGACUGCUGGAGAUAUCAGAAGUGCGAAUGCUGACAUGAGUAACGUUAAAGCAGGUGAAAAGCCUGCUCGCCGUAAGCCCAAGGAUUCCUGCUCUACGUUCAUCGGAGCAGGGUGAGUCGGCUCCUAAGGUCAGGCCGAAAGGCGUAGCCGAUGGGAAUCAGGUUAAUAUUCCUGAACCUGCGUCAGAUGCGAUGGGGGGACGGAGCAUGAAAGAUCAUCCGGGUGUUGGAUGUCCCGGUUGACGAGCGUAGGAGGUCUGCAGGCAAAUCCGCAGACGCAUCUCCAAGGCGAAGUCACGUGCCGCCACGGCGGCGAAGUGAUCGGAAGUGCUUCCAAGAAAAGCCUCUAAGCACCAGUCUGGCGCGGACCGUACCGCAAACCGACACUGGUGGGCGAGCUGAAUAUGCUCAGGCGCUUGAGAGAACUCGGGAGAAGGAACUCGGCAAAUUGACACCGUAACUUCGGAAGAAGGUGUGCCGUAGUACCGUGAGAGGAGAGACACCUUGAGCGGGAAUCGGUCUCAGAGAAUAGGUGGCUGCGACUGUUUAUUAAAAACACAGCACUCUGCAAAGUCGAAAGACGACGUAUAGGGUGUGAUGCCUGCCCGGUGCUGGAAGAUUAAUUGAUGGGGUGAGAGCCCUUGAUCGAAGUCCCAGUAAACGGCGGCCGUAACUAUAACGGUCCUAAGGUAGCGAAAUUCCUUGUC
rnacentral:rRNA from 1 species